UUUUCUGUCUUUUUACUGUCUUUUGUGAUAUGUUCACAAACUUUUUUUUAAAAGCUGUGAACAUUUCCAAAUACUUUUGUCUUCCAAACCAUUGAUUGACCAUUGAAUUUUGAAACAAAACUAAAUUCUAAUUUUUAUAACUAACCUUUACUAUUAUAUAUUAAGAACUCAACAUAUUCUUGAGUUUGCUAAUGUUUAUCUUCUGUACAUCACAACUAAUUAAUUGCAUUUUCUAUACACAUUUUCAACAUAUAAAUUAAAUGUAAAGCAGUCUUGACUCUAGUCUUUGAAAUCAAAUAAACAAUUUUGUUAAUUAACAUGGAACAUACAAAAAUUGCUUUGGAUCAUGAAAAUCAUAGUUGUAAACAGGACCAACAUACUUCAAAAUAAAUGCCGAAAGUCAACCACUAUUUUUUAUGAAAUACAGGUAUAAAUAUUUUGUUAAAAAUCAAAUACAUAAACACAGCCUAAUGCCAAUGACAGUGGAAGACACUGGAUUCAUGAGUGUGUGCUCUCAUUACCUCUAGUCGCUGUGAACAUAACAAAACAGUCCAUUUUAUGUUUAUGUUCUGCAAAAAAAGGUUAAUCCAACUCUUAGGUCCAGUUACCAAGAGCUUGAAAUGUUCUGACCAGUUCUUGUGCUUCGCAAAGGUUCUUGGUGCACCAGGUUUGAUGAGAUGAUCAAUCACAUUUAAACUUCAAAAGGCUCAAAUUUUCCAUGGAUUCCCAGUCAUUCAGUUCAUUAAGGGACUUGAGCCAUUUGGUUGGAAGGCAAAGCUGCUUCUUCACCUUCGUUGGCGACGUGUCAGUCGACCUCGUUCAGGGUUUGAGCCCAGAAAAACUCUAAAAAAAAGAGAAUGGAUACUCAAGUUUAUCACAGAAACACUUCAUGUUAUAAACUUACUUUUUACAAAGCACUUCUAAAUUACAUUACAGCAGCACAUCACCUUGCUCAUCAGCGUCUCACCAAUUGCUAAUUGCUCUUUCACAAACAACAUUGAAUAAUUCUGAUGAAUUCUGACA